rnacentral:lncRNA from 1 species
GUUCCUACGAAUGUGCAAGUCAAGACAGCACAUGCCAUGGCAUUUGCAAAUGUUGGCAGAAGGUUUGCAGGCGUCCGCAGACUGGAUGGGAAUUUGAGCAGCAGCAAAAUAGCAGAUUUUCUAGAAAAAAAGGAAGGAGGUGGCAAUAGGUUUGUUUUGUUUUUAUGCUUCUCUUUUGUCAGUAUGUAUUGUGUUAAUAAAUCUUCAUAUUUU